UGAGUAGUGGCGCACGGGUGAGUAACGCGUGGAUAAUCUGCCCUUAUGAUUGGAAUAACAGUUGGAAACGGCUGCUAAUACCGGAUACGCUCAAAAUGAACUUUUUGAGGAAAGAUGGCCUCUGCUUGCAUGCUAUCGCAUAAGGAUGAGUCCGCGUCCCAUUAGCUUGUUGGCGGGGUAACGGCCCACCAAGGCAACGAUGGGUAGCCGAUUUGAGAGGAUGAUCGGCCACACUGGAACUGAAACACGGUCCAGACUCCUACGGGAGGCAGCAGUGGGGAAUAUUGCGCAAUGGGCGAAAGCCUGACGCAGCGACGCCGCGUGAGGGAUGAAGGUUUUCGGAUCGUAAACCUCUGUCAGAAGGGAAGAAACUACGUUGUGCUAAUCAGCAGCGUACUGACGGUACCUUCAAAGGAAGCACCGGCUAACUCCGUGCCAGCAGCCGCGGUAAUACGGAGGGUGCAAGCGUUAAUCGGAAUUACUGGGCGUAAAGCGCACGUAGGCUGUAGUGUAAGUCAGGGGUGAAAUCCCACGGCUCAACCGUGGAACUGCCUUUGAUACUGCACAACUUGAAUCCGGGAGAGGGUGGCGGAAUUCCAGGUGUAGGAGUGAAAUCCGUAGAUAUCUGGAGGAACAUCAG
rnacentral:rRNA from 1 species